rnacentral:lncRNA from 1 species
CAACUCCAAUGACAUGACAAAAAACAACGCACCACGACGGAACAGGAACAGCCGAUCUCUAUCUCAUCCUAACCAAAUUCUCAACUCCCAGAGGACACAACCAAUAGGAGGAUAAAUGGUACAGAAGAAGCAACGAACAAGAGGAACCUUUCUGCCAGAUACAGAAUCGCCAUAGACUGCACCUUUCUGCAACCUAGAAGCAUUGCAAAGGAAAACAAAGAGAGAGAGAAAACAUAGAAGCAUCUCAGAUGGUUUCAGCAGCAGCACAUGAGCUGUCUCCUUGCACUGAGCUCAGGUAGCUGGUUGCCUGCAGCGAAAAUUAACAGCCA